rnacentral:pre_miRNA from 1 species
GAGGGCAUGAUCCAAAGCCCGCUGAACUCAAUAGAAAGACUCCCAUUGAUUUCAGUGGGUUUUGGAUCAGGCCCUAAAUUC